CAGCCUCUCUUUCCCUAGAAGUCCCCAAUGCUGACUCCUUUAUAGGGACAAAGCAAGCUUCUCAACCUGUAAAAUUCCAACUAAAUUUGAGUUCAACUUCCUCUAAAACUACUUGUGGUGGUUAGUGUUAUGUGCCCACUUGGCUAGGAGAUGAUUCUCAGUGGUUUGGCGGAUAUUAUGUAAUCAUCCUCCAUCUCAUGACCUGACGUGAGCAGGCAAUCAUUUACAAAGGGAGUUUCCUUUGGGGUGUGGUCUGCAUCCAAUAUAUAUGGAUGUUCUAGCACAGCUUCCUUUCUCUUGGUCCUGCAUCCAACUCAUCACCCUCUGACCUCUAGUUCUUGGGAUGGGAGCAGCAACCUGUUGCCUGACCUGCAAAUUGUGGAGAUUUGCCAGCUCCUACAACCCCAGAAGCUAGCAGACUUUUGCCUGACCUGCCGUCUGGGGGUUCAUCAGCCUCUGCAAACACAUGAGUGAAGAGAAGCCUGGAGCCUGAUGCCUGACCCACGGAUUUGGGACCUGCCAGCCUCCAUAACUGGACUUCUGAACAGCAAGAAUACUGGAAGAACAAGAAGUAAUAGAGCAAUGCCCUCAACAUUCCUCGAAAUUCAGACAAACAAUGAAGUACAAAGACAGAAUGAAGAUAUUUUUAGGCAUUCAAGGAUUCAAAAAAAUGUGCAUCCCCUGUACCCUUUUUGAAGAAACUUUUAAAUGUUCAGGUUCACCAAAACAAGAAAGUAAACCAAGAAAAAGGAAGAUAUGGCGUAGAGAAAGGAGGAGUGAAUUAAAGGUAUUCUUGGAGGUUGAUGAUGUGCACCAGGUGGAGGAGGGCAACAGUCCAGACUGAAACCAUGUGACCAAAAGUCAGCUGUGUUGAGGGCUGUCAUCUUUUGGAUGUCUACUGUCAUGUAGUUCCUUUUUCACUGAGGAAAGAAGGCCUACUGAGCCUGUCAUACUAUUAUCUAUACUCAGCUUAUUUUGGACAUAUGUUAAUUAAUUAAGUUCCUGCUUUCCCUUCCAUGCCCUACAACCUAGAUCAACUGAGGGUAUGUUGAGUAUAUGCCUUUCCCCAGUGUUUCUCAAUCUUUAGUAUGCAUCAAAAUAACUAGCAGACUUGUUAAAACACAGAUUUGGGGCCCCAUGCCCAGAGAUUCAGUAGAUUUGGAAUGAAACCUAAGACUUUCUAACAAGUUUUCAGAUAAUAAUGAUGCUGCUGGCCAAGGAACCAUGCUUUGAGAACCACCGCUCUCACCUAGUGCUAGAGGCAGGUCAGGGAGAGCUGGGAAGCAGAAAGCACAGAGCAUUUCCCUCUCUCUCCAUUUUUCCACUAUAUAUCCAUCCAGUCCAUGGCCCACAUUCCUGGCCUGCCAGAUGCUUUGAUUUUCCCAGGACUCAUUCACACUUUUGCCCACACACUUCUCCAUAAGGAACUCUUAUACACUAUGUCCAAGAGAUUCUGUUCAUCUUAUUUUCUCCUGAGAGCCUUCUUCUAACAAUGGCAAUGUUGCUCUUUCCCUAUUCUGUUGGGUUUGUGCUGACUACUCAUUUUUUCAUGUAUGCUUAGGCAUACAUAUAUACAUGAGUGAUUUUUUAAAAUUGUUUUUAAGCAAAGAUAUUAUUAACACAACAGUCAGCAAACAGUUACCACCAGGAGAAGGAUGGUGUGAUCAGAGGAGCACACAGAGGAUUUCUAAGAUACUGGAAUGUUCUAUUGUUAACCUAGGUGGUGAAUAUGUAGAUGUUCAUUUUACUAGUAGUCCUUAAAUACCAGUAAGACAUAUGUCUUAUUUAUUCUUCUGUAUGAAUUAUACUGUUCAUAAUUUUAAAAUAAGAGAUAACACCUUCCUAUUAAACAAUCCCUCUCAAAAAAAAAAAAAAAAA